GCCCUCUCCGCCGCGGCCCUCGGAACUUCCGCACCCCGCGCGGAUCACGGCGGUGGCGGGUUUGAAUGGCGCGGCGUCAGUCCCGACGCGGGAAGGGGGUCCUCCUCGGAGGCUCCUUCCUCGUCGGCCCGGCCCCCUCCCUCCCGGCUUCACCCUCACACACCCUGGCCCACCCUUUCAGGAACCGGUGACCACAGGAGCCGGGCUGUUUGGGAAUUGUGUGGACAGGUGGCUUAGACCCAGGGUUCCCCGGCCCCGCUGGCUUCGUGGUGUACAGAGGGAUUAGUCUAGCAGCGGAUUAACAGAGCUAGACAAAAUGGUUAAUUGCUGCACCUUUUAGAAUUUCUCCGGAACCCUUGAUGGUUGGUUCAGUGGCUGUAACUGGAAACGACUGAGUGAAGGAGGUCACAGCACUGGUACCAGCAGUGCAGCCCACUGGGAGGCUGGCCCCCUGCAGAGCCUGGAGGGUAGCGGUCGUCUCUGCUGCAAAUGCAGUUCCAAUGUUGAAGAUAACAGCUAAACUCUCCAGAAGGAAAAGACUUCUAAGGACAGAGUGGGCCUCCAGGCCUGGCAACGCAUGGGGCAAGCUUCCCUGCAACACCUGUCUCACUGCUCUGCCAACCCGUCCCCAGGCAUCUGACCCUCCGUCUGGAGCCCACGGGGGCUUCCUAGCUCCCUCCCUUUUAGGCCUCUGCACAUCUCUCCUCGGAGGGUCCGCCAGACCACUCAUGAAAUAGCAGCUUUGGUUGGGCAUGGUGGUGCAUGCCUGUAUUCUCAGGUAAUCUGGAGGCUGAGGCAGAGGACUGAACAUUCCAGACCAGCCUCAGCAUAGGUUAACAAAAUUCUGUCUCAAAAUAAAAACAAAAAAAAAAAUGUAAAGGGUUGGGGUGUGUAGCUCAGUAGUAGAGUACUUGCCUAGCAUGUGUGAGGUCCUGAGUUCUAUCCCCAGUACCACAAAAAUAAGUAAAUAAAUGGAAGCUGUUGCCUUCACUCUGCCCUCUUAU
rnacentral:lncRNA from 1 species